rnacentral:rRNA from 1 species
CGAGUCUGCCUUGAAGAUCGGAGUGCUUGCACUCUGUGAAACAAGAUACAGGCUAGCGGCGGACGGGUGAGUAACACGUGGGUAACCUGCCCAAGAGAUCGGGAUAACACCUGGAAACAGAUGCUAAUACCGGAUAACAACAGAUGAUGCCUAUCAACUGUUUAAAAGAUGGUUCUGCUAUCACUCUUGGAUGGACCCGCGGUGCAUUAGCUAGUUGGUAGGGUAACGGCCUACCAAGGCGAUGAUGCAUAGCCGAGUUGAGAGACUGAUCGGCCACAUUGGGACUGAGACACGGCCCAAACUCCUACGGGAGGCAGCAGUAGGGAAUCUUCCACAACGGACGCAAGUCUGAUGGAGCAACGCCGCGUGAGUGAAGAAGGGUUUCGGCUCGUAAAGCUCUGUUGUUGGUGAA